rnacentral:misc_RNA from 1 species
GAUGAAGAACGCAGCGAAAUGCGAUAAGUAAUGUGAAUUGCAGAAUUCAGUGAAUCAUCGAAUCUUUGAACGCAUCUUGCGCUCCUUGGUAUUCCUUGGAGCAUGCCUGUUUGAGUAUCAUGAGCAAAUCUCAAAGUCAAUUCCUUUUGUUGAUUCAUUUGGUUUUGCUUUGGACUUGGAGGCCUUGCAGAUUUCACAGUCUGCUCCUCUUAAAUGCAUUAGCUGGAUCUCAGUAAUUAUGCUUGGUUCCACUCGGCGUGAUAAGUAUCACUCGCUGAGGACACUGUUAAAAAGGUGGCCAGGAAAAUACUGAUUGAACCGCUUCUAACGGUCUAUUAAGUUAGACAAUUACCCUUAAGUUUGAUCUCAAAUCAGGUAGGACUACCCGCUGAACUUAAGCAUAUCAAUAAGCGGAGGA